rnacentral:rRNA from 1 species
AACGCUAGCUACAGGCUUAACACAUGCAAGUCGAGGGGAAACGAUAGAGAAAGCUUGCUUUUUUUAGGCGUCGACCGGCGCACGGGUGAGUAACGCGUAUCCAACCUGCCCACCACUUGGGGAUAACCUUGCGAAAGUAAGACUAAUACCCAAUGACGUCUCUAGAAGACAUCUGAAAGGGAUUAAAGAUUUAUCGGUGAUGGAUGGGGAUGCGUCUGAUUAGCUUGUCGGCGGGGUAACGGCCCACCGAGCCAUCGAUCGGUAGGGGUUCUGAGAGGAAGGUCCCCCACAUUGGAACUGAGACACGGUCCAAACUCCUACGGGAGGCAGCAGUGAGGAAUAUUGGUCAGUGGACGUAAGUCUGAACCAGCCAAGUAGCGUGCAGGACGACGGCCCUAUGGGUUGUAAACUGCUUUAGUGCGGGAAUAAAGUCAGGGACGUGUCCCUGAUUGCAGGUACCGCAAGAAUAAGGACCGGCUAAUUCCGUGCCAGCAGCCGCGGUAAUACGGAAGGUCCGGGCGUUAUCCGGAUUUAUUGGGUUUAAAGGGAGCGUAGGCUGUUUAUUAAGCGUGUUGUGAAAAACCCGUGCUCAACAUGGGUCGUGCAGCGCGAACUGGUGAACUUGAGUGCGGAUGCGGUAUGCGGAAUUUGUGGUGUAGCGGUGAAAUGCUUAGAUAUCACGAAGAACUCCGAUUG